rnacentral:rRNA from 1 species
AGCGAACGCUGGCGGCAGGCCUAACACAUGCAAGUCGAACGGAUCCUUCGGGAUUAGUGGCGGACGGGUGAGUAACACGUGGGAACGCGCCCUUUGGUUCGGAACAACUCAGGGAAACUUGAGCUAAUACCGGAUGUGCCCUUCGGGGGAAAGAUUUAUCGCCAUUGGAGCGGCCCGCGUCUGAUUAGCUAGUUGGUGGGGUAAAGGCCCACCAAGGCGACGAUCAGUAGCUGGUCUGAGAGGAUGAUCAGCCACAUUGGGACUGAGACACGGCCCAAACUCCUACGGGAGGCAGCAGUGGGGAAUCUUGCGCAAUGGGCGAAAGCCUGACGCAGCCAUGCCGCGUGAAUGAGGAAGGUCUUAGGAUUGUAAAAUUCUUUCACCGGGGACGAUAAUGACGGUACCCGGAGAAGAAGCCCCGGCUAACUUCGUGCCAGCCGCCGCGGUAAUAC